AAGUCGAACGUGAUCCCUGUUUUCGGAUGGGGUGAAAGUGGCGUCCGGGUGAGUAACACGUAGCUGACCUGCCCUUUGCUGGGGGAUAACCCCGCGAAAGCGGGGCUAAUACCGCGUAAGCGCAUGGGGGUUAGAGUCCCGAUGCGGAAAGCUGAGGCGGCAAAGGAGAGGGCUGCGUUCCAUCAGCUAGCUGGUAGGGUAACGGCCUACCAGGGCGACGACGGAUAGGGGGCCUGAGAGGGUGACCCCCCACACUGGUACUGACACACGGACCAGACUCCUACGGGAGGCAGCAGUAAGGAAUAUUGCGCAAUGGGCGAAAGCCUGACGCAGCAACGCCGCGUGCAGGAAGAAGGUCUUCGGAUCGUAAACUGCUUUUCUGCGGGACGAGCGAGGACGGUACCGCAGGAAUAAGUCUCGGCUAACUACGUGCCAGCAGCCGCGGUAAAACGUAGGAGGCAAGCGUUAUCCGGAAUGAUUGGGCGUAAAGCGUCCGCAGGUGGCUAGCCAAGUCCGCUGUCAAAGCGUGAGGCUUAACCUCAUACAGGCAGUGGAAACUGGAUAGCUAGAGGGUGGUAGGGGGUAGAGGGAAUUCCCAGUGUAGCGGUGAAAUGCGUAGAUAUUGGGAAGAACACCAGUGGCGAAAGCGCUCUACUGGGCCAUACCUGA
rnacentral:rRNA from 1 species